CGUCUUUAAACAGGCGCGUCUAGAUGGAGCGAAUCCACCGUCAUCUGGAUUAGCUCAAGAACCUCUCCGUGGAAUAACAUCUUGAAGUCUUGCUAAAAGUGUCCUAUCAAUUUGAUUUUUGACUGUUAUUCAUAUUAUUAGACAUGGGGUCAGUCAACAAACUUUGUGGGUCCAGCCUUCAUUUAUUCUUGUGUCCAACCGUGGAUGUGGUCCAGCAAGUUGCAGUGCCGGACGAUCUUACUCCGGAGGAGCAGCAGGAGCUGGAGAACAUCCGCCGGCGCAAGCUGGAGCUGCUGGAGGACAUUCAGCGGCUAAAGGAUGAGAUAGCAGAGGUCACCAACGAGAUUGAGAACCUGGGUUCCACCGAGGAGAGGAAAAUCAUGCAGAGGAACAAACAGGUGGCCAUGGGCCGUAAGAAAUUCAACAUGGACCCUAAAAAGGGAAUUCAGUUCCUCAUUGAGAACGACCUCCUGAAGAACACGAGCGAUGACAUCGCUCAGUUCCUCUGCAAGGGGGAAGGUUUGAACAAAACUGCCAUUGGGGAUUACCUCGGGGAAAGAGAUGAUUUCAACAUCCAGGUCCUUCACGCUUUUGUUGAACUUCAUGAAUUCACAGACCUCAACCUGGUUCAGGCCCUGCGACAGUUCCUGUGGAGCUUUCGGUUACCGGGAGAAGCCCAGAAGAUCGACCGCAUGAUGGAGGCCUUCGCUCAGCGCUACUGCCAAUGCAACCCAGGCGUUUUCCAAUCCACAGACACCUGCUACAUCCUGUCCUUCGCCAUCAUCAUGCUCAACACUAGCCUCCACAACCCCAACGUGAAGGACAAGCCCACCGUCGAGCGCUUCAUCUCCAUGAACCGGGGCAUCAACGAGGGCGGAGACCUACCCGAAGACCUGCUCAGGAAUCUCUACGAGAGCAUCAAGAAUGAGCCUUUUAAAAUCCCAGAGGACGACGGCAACGACCUCACACACACCUUCUUUAACCCGGACCGAGAAGGCUGGCUGCUUAAACUGGGUCAACUGAUGGUAGCUGAAAAUCAAAGCGCUUGGAUUCCUCAACACUCCCCUCCUUCCGUUUCCUCCUCCUUGUUCCGAUUCACGCUGAUUUGUGAAAAGUCAGUCGUUCUAAUCACUGUGAAUCUGGACAACUGGCUGGCGUUAGACGUCUUUCGCUAAAAAAGAAAAAAAAAAAUCAAGGUGGAGGAUAAAAUAAAUGAGUCAAUAUGGAGCCAAGGCUUUUCGGUGUGCACAGCUCCACCAUGUGGCGAAUAGAAUUAGAAGAACAGCCUGAAAGCCAAAUGAACGUCACUGUGGUGCAAUGAUUCCUACUCAUUUAUUUAAUUUGAUGAUUUAUUUUGUUUCCUUUUCCCUCUUCGUUUGUUUGUUCCCAUGAUUUUGGCUGUUGUCUUUCCUACCUCAGGAGGUAUGUACACCUGUUCUUCCCAAACCAACCAAACAAAAACAAAAGACCUGCUCCAUCUCUCUCUCAGCUCUCCGGUGCUUUUGGUGGUGCGCCAUGAUUGCUUUUUGUUCUCCUCCGACAUCCAGCUGGGUUUUUUAUUUUCCAUGUCUGUGGAUAUUUCUGUUUGUCCCUUCCAUCGACGCAUUUCCAACUUCAGAUGUUUGUCUCUUCAGUCGACUCACCGCGCUGGCGGUUUUUUGAUUUUUGUGUCCUUUCAUUUUAUCUCUGUGGGUGGUUGGCUGCCACCCUCGCGGGCUCCUCUCGCUUUCUGACCGCUCCCACCGAGGUCUUCUGAUGGUCACUAUCUUUUUCAUGUGGCUUUUGGUUCCGUCGUCCUAAAGCUGCAUUAUACCCUUUCCUCCAUCCAGUCGAGCAGCCACAUCAAGAUUUUGCUCUGUGUGUAUGGAAAGGGAAUACUGCAACUUUCCAACUUUGUGGCUCUUCUCUUUGCUAUUCGAUGGAUCGGAGGGGUGCGUGCUACGUGGCUGGAGAAAGCGGUGCGGCCAGCAAAGUGUUUUGAUUGGACACCAUUGACCGAAUCCAAGUGGUCACAGAAUCAGGCAUCGUAAUCCUUAAAAGCUGCCAGCAUCCCGCCGUGCCUCCACUUGAGCAUGCACCCGCUCAACCCUCCCUUAGCAACAAUGUGCCGGGACCGCUACCCAGCUAUUCUUGCAUCGGAGGAGUUUGCUCUCUUCUUCGUCGGAGUGCGAGGAAAGCCCCCACCCCCCUUGAUCAUUUUAUGGUGUUUAACCAUAGCUUGAAUGGCUGCAUAUGAUGAUGAAAGGGUGUGCGGUGCCUACGGGCCGUGACUUGAACUCCGUCUUUCCUAUCACAGUAGAUGUAGGUCAACUAACAUGGUGGUGGGCUCACGUAGUCUAGACUUGUAGCUAACUGAGACCCCAACAGGAAAUUCGAAGCUUUAGAGUAGCAGAAUGUAGCUGCAGGCUCGCGACCCUCAUUGGCAUCCUGUUUGGGGGGGAGGGGGUGGGGGCAUCUGCUUAUCCAGAUCAGGUUUCCCCGCACAGGAAACUAGCCUGCUGUGUUUAAGGUGAGAGGUCAGGUAGGGUCAGCGAUGCCCGAGUUAAUGAAAAGUCCCACCGGGCGUGAAAGGGGGUGUGGCCUUGUAAAGAAAGAUCAGAUGAUGAAAAAAGUGGUUUUUUACUCAUACAUUUUGGGGACGGGUUGUUUUCACUCCAAUUUCACUUGAUAUCAAUUGUAAUAUGAUAACAGUUACAGAUAGUAUUCUAAAAAUAAAGGCGUUCCCUAAAUAGAUGCCACCUCUAUUUUCCUGGCAGGAAAUGAAUUUUCAUAUUCUGGUUACGCCUGAUUUUCCAGUCCAGUUUCACGUAACGUUGCCGUAUUCUCGUUUCAUUGAUCUAAAAUAAAGUCCCUCACCCCACCCUUCUGGAUGUUCCAGUAAUGUGUGUUUCAAACUCUAUUUAUGGGGCGGGUGAUGUCAGUUGUAGUAUAAAAAUGAAAGCGUCCUAUCAAACACCUGCGUGUGUGUGCGGGAAUGCAGUAUUGGUAUGCAAGUGGAGUAGCGGCCCCACACUGCGUCCUUUACGAGGUGUGUGUUUAUCGGGCCAGAUGAGGCCAGCAGCCAGUUUUCAAGGACCUCAUCAAAGCAGCACUUGAGUUUCUUUCUACCUAUGGUGGUGGUGGCGGUGGUGUGGAGGCCGAGUUAAGACCUGGAAGCGACGAUGGUUCAUCUUAACCGACAACUGCCUCUAUUACUUUGAAUACACGAC